AGGAACGGCUUGCUCCUUUCAAAAACCUCGCGCUCCAGACCUCCUUAAAACCCUAAUCAUGGGGAAAUCGCUCGCCAGGAAGAAAGGGCUGAAGAGGUUGAAAACACAAAAAACGACCAAAGCUGUGGAGCAGCGAAUGAAGAAGUCUUUUAAUGACAAGCCAGAAAUGACCAAAGCUGCAAAGCAGCCAAGAAAGAAGUCUUUUGAUGAUAAAGUAGCGAAUGAUUCAUUGCUGACUUCAGGACAUUCUCUCAAAGAACUUUCAAAUAGCGUCGAUCAAGAGGAAGAUGUUUUUAGGGAACCUUCAGUGUUCGACAACUUAUUAAACGCACUGGAAUCUGGUAGUGAGAAACUUGCUACCUUGUCCAGAAAGAGGCAACGAGAACAAGAGGGUAGAAGUGAUAGCGAGGAAGAGGAGAUUGUCACAUUUGGGUCCACUAGUUUGUCUGAAGAGGAAGAUGUUGACACAGGUUCAGCUAGUGAAUCUAGUUUGGGAGAUGCUGAAGAAGAUGAUCUAGGAGAGCAUGGGCCUGCUGAUAUGUUGGAGCAGACUGAGGAAGAUGAAACUGGAGAUGAGGAUGGAACCUCUGAUGCCAGUGAUUCUCAGGACUUGGAGAACAGCAGCCAGACUGUUUUUGAUGAACCAGAGAGCACAAGCUCUUUUCAUCGUCACUUGGGGCAUAUCUUAACAAAUGAAGAGGUUGACGAAUUGAUGAAAAAGAAAUGGAAAUUUACAUGGGAGUUGCCUGCGAUUAGCAUGCCGAUGUCGAGGUGGGCUGGAACAGGAGAACAAGUUUCCAUGGAAACUAACAAUGAUCAGAAUUAUGGGCUUAUGCAAAAAUUGUAUAACCAUUGGCUUGAUAUUUAUAAAACUUCGGGAUUCCGUGACUUUGAUUCAUCCAGACAGAGAUUCUUCUUCUCACUAUGCAGUAGUUAUCGAGAUAUAUUGCAUUGCAACAAGAAACCAUUUUAUCUCAAAGGCAAUGAAGAGGAUUCAAGUAUCAUGGAUGCAUAUAUUAUGCAUGCUAUAAAUCAUGUUUAUAGGACGAGAGAUCUUGUGAUCAAGAAUGAUGCAAAACUGGCCAAGCAUCAAGAAGGUAAUAAAGAGGAGGUUCUUUGUGGUGGCACAUUCCUAGAUCAAGGUUUUACUCGCCCGAAGGUUCUGUUCAUAUUGCCCCUUGGAAGCAUUGCACUACGUGUUGUGAAGAGGCUAAUCCAACUUACUCCAAUAUCAAACAAAGCCAAUGUGGAGCACAUGGAUCGCUUUUCUGAGGAGUUUGGAACUGGUGAUGCUGAGGAUGAUGAUGAACAGAAACAUGGCAGUUCCAAAUGUCAGAACCCCACAAAACCUGCAGACUUCCAAAUUCUGUUCGGUGGAAACAACAAUGACCACUUCAUGCUGGGGAUAAAGUUCACAAAGAGAAGCAUAAAACUGUAUAGCGACUUUUAUUCUUCAGACAUCAUUGUUGCAUCUCCCCUUGGAUUAAUCACUAAAAUUGGGGAGGCUGAGGUUGAAAAGGAAAAAGAUGUAGAUUAUCUCUCCUCAAUAGAAGUAGUAAUUAUUGAUCAUACGGAUGUGAUAGCCAUGCAGAACUGGUCCCAUGUAAAUACUCUCGCUGAACAACUGAAUCGCAUGCCAUCUAAACAACAUGGAACUGAUAUGAUGCGCAUUAGGCAGUGGUAUUUGGGUGGGCAUGCACGCUUUUAUCGACAAACAAUUAUCUUAGGUUCUUUUCUUAAUCCAGACAUGAAUGCAUUAUUUAACAGAUUGUGUGUGAACUAUAAGGGAAAGGUCAAGUUGGUGACUGAGUAUAAAAGUGUUCUUCCUAAAAUAUUACUUGAAGUACGGCAGGUGUAUGAGCGUUUUCAUGCCCCUUCAAUUGCUGAUGUUGAUGAGGCCCGCCUUGAUUAUUUCUGUAAGAAGGUUUUCCCUAAGAUAAAGGAUUCAAUUGAGGGUGGGAUUAUGUUAUUCAUAAGUUCGUACUUCGAGUUUGUGCGGAUUCGAAAUUUUCUAAAAUCUCAGAAUGCUUCUUUCUGUUUGCUUGGGGAGUACACAAAACAAAGUGAUAUAUCUCGUGCACGGAUUUGGUUUUUUGAGGGCAAGCGUAAGAUCAUGCUUUACACUGAAAGGGCUCAUUUUUAUCAUAGAUACAAGAUUCGUGGAGUACAGAAUUUAAUUAUAUACUCUCUACCAGAGAGAAAGGAAUUCUACCCUGAGAUCAUCAAUAUGCUGGAUGCAUCAAAAAACAUGAUGUGCAAUGUGCUUUUUUCGCAUUUGGAUCUUAUCAGGCUAGAGAGAAUUGUUGGAACUUCUGCUGCGAAAAGGAUGCUGUCAUCAGAUAAGAACAUAUUUGUCUUCACUUGAAACCAAAAGUGCUGUUAGGAGUUUCUCGAAGAUGGACAAAAAUUGGUUGUAGUUCACGAGGUAGUACAUGCCAUGAUGUGAGUUCUUUCUUGUGUCAUCAUCGACCAAAGGAAUGAGAGAGAUAGAUAGGGAAACUUAUUUUCUAGUCCUGUGGGGGGCCCCUACCUACUUCAUUCUCUUCUCCAGGAUUUUGCAGCUUCCACGGCUGUAGGAGGUGAUCAUUGCUGGUGGCUGUGGUGGUGCAUUCAUUGGAGGCAGUGGUGUUGCGGCUGUGGGGUGCAGCGACAGGUUCCGGUGGUGCUGUUGCUCUUUAAGGCACCUCCUGCCGUGGAAAAAAAGAAAAGGAGAGGGGAGUGAUGAGGAUCGGGGAUUCUCACUUUUUGAUUAUUUGCAAGGUUUUGUUCAAAUCUGCCUCUGGAGUCCCAGAAAGAGAACCACCCUGCCAUUCAGUUUUGGUUUUUAUGCUCAUUUUCUGGUCAUCGGGUUUUAUGAUUUUCUCUAAACAAAGCAAAGCUAGCAGUUUUUUACCGCAUAUUUUGGUCUUGUGGCUUAAAGACAUUUAUUAGCAAUUGAGCUUCGCAUUCUUUUUACUAAAGAAAAAUAAUUUAUUUUGUUAAUUCCAUGCUUUUGAACCA